AGUGAACGCUGGCGGUAGGCCUAACACAUGCAAGUCGAACGGCAGCACAGUAAGAGCUUGCUCUUACGGGUGGCGAGUGGCGGACGGGGGAGGAAUACAUCGGAAUCUACUUUUUCGUGGGGGCUAACGUAGGGAAACUUACGCUAAUACCGGAUACGACCUACGGGUGAAAGCAGGGGAUCUUCGGACCUUGUGGGAGUGAAUGAGCCGAUGUUGGAUUAGCUAGUUGGCGGGGUAAAGGGCCACCAAGGCGACGAUCCGUAGAUGGUCUGAGAGGAACAUCAGCCACACGGGCACUGAGAAACGGCACCGACUCCUACGCGAGGAAGCAGUCGGGAAUACUGGGCAAUGGGGGAAUGGCUAAUCCAGCAAUAUCGCGUGGAUGCUGAAGGCGUUAUGGUUGUAAAGUCAUUAUGUUGGGAAAGAAAAGCAGCAGGUUAAUACCCCGCUGUUAUGACGGUACCCAAAGAAUAAGCACCGGCUAACUUCGUG
rnacentral:rRNA from 1 species